UACGUAGGGGGCAAGCGUUGUCCGGAAUCAUUGGGCGUAAAGAGCGCGUAGGCGGCCCAGUAAGUCCGCUCUGAAAGUCAGGGGCUCAACCCCUGGAUGCGGGUGGAUACUGCUGGGCUAGAGUCCGGAAGAGGUGAGUGGAAUUCCUGGUGUAGCGGUGAAAUGCGCAGAUAUCAGGAGGAACACCAGCAGCGAAGGCGGCGCUCUGGGCUGGAACUGACGCUGAGGAGCGAAAGCGUGGGUAGCAAACAGG
rnacentral:rRNA from 1 species